rnacentral:rRNA from 1 species
UACGUAGGGGCCUAGCGUUGUCCGGAAUUAUUGGGCGUAAAGAGCUCGUAGGCGGUUCGUAAGCCGGAUGUGAAAUCCCCGGGCUUAACCUGGGAAUGGCAUUCGGGACUGCAAGGCUGGAGUGCGGCAGAGGAGACUGGAAUUCCUGGUGUAGCAGUGAAAUGCGUAGAUAUCAGGAGGAACACCGAUGGCGAAGGCAGGUCUCUGGGCUGACACUGACGCUCAUGCACGAAAGCGUGGGGAGCAAACAGG